AGCAAAUUUGAAUCACUCAUUAGUACAAAUCACGAAACGAAACCCAGUAUAUAUUAGCAAAGCACACUUAUUUCAUUCGUUCGAAUUAUAUUCAUAUAUUCUAUAAAUGUCAAAGUUGACAUUUGGAGGAAAAUCGUUUUGUUUAUAGACAAUAAUAAAAUACGAAAAUAUUACAGAGCUCAGUUCAUGAGUCAUGUUUACAUUUUAGAAAUUCUGUUCGAAAAUGCAGUUAUAUCAAACUAAGCUUUCGGUAUAACAUCUUCGGUAUUUUCAAUUAUAUUUUUGGAGUCGUCUAGAUGAAAGUCUGAGCUACAUGGCUGGCAAUUCCGAAGAAGUUUUAGGCGUUAAUCUCCCGAGAAAAUCCCCAGAAGUGAGUAGUGACAGAUGUGAGUCUCCAGUGAGUAACAACUUUGGAGAAGAGAUGGUGAUCCGUGAGGUGACGGAGACAUCAUCGGAGCCUGACACACUCACGUCAUAUAAUAGCACAAUACCUAGCUCUCUAAGGGAACCUACUGAGAGCGAAGAUUUUUCACUGCUUAGCCUUCAAGUAAAUGGAAAUACUCAAUGCUUUGACCCCGCCACAGAACGCAAGUUUGCCAAUCUUCCCAAUCUCUCAGAUGGACAGUGUGCAAUACUCUUUGACCGCCUUAAUCUUCAAGACAGUUAUAUCCAUAAGGCAGAUAGAUGCAAGGAUGUGACAUCAGUGGUUCAGGCGGUACAGCGGAAGGGCAAUCUUAGGGGAGAUGUGCAAAUAUUUGACGGGGUAAUUCACAGACCAGACAUAGCAAGGGCAGUGAGAGAAUUAAAUGGCCCUAAGCUCAAUAGGGAAACCCCCCUAGGAAAACUGAAGCAUUCUGUGAGACACAGGCUAAUACUUGCCCUUAGUGUAGAAAGAGAUGACUUGAAGGAUUGGAGGUCUCUGGCAGAAUAUUUGAACUUUGAUGAUUAUAUAAAACUUUGGUCACAGAAAUAUAAACUCCCUGCUGAGCCGCUAUUUACGGCAUGGUCAAUACGUCAUGACGCAACAGUCGGAACUCUGUUUGACUUCCUGAUCAUGAACGAUAUGGGAAUGAUAGCUGAUAUUUUAUAGUGUUCGUUGAGCUAAUUUGGUGGCGUACUACAGGUCUGGACUUUCGUUUAGUAUGUUAAAUGAUGACCUUAGAAGCAAAGUUAGCAAGCAGAGUGGAUAAGUUGACAAGAAUUGCUGAAUCAGAGAACUUGGAAAAAUGACAUGAACAUACAAAAAGACGGCCCAAGCAUAGAUUAUAAAAUAUAUGUGAGGAAUUUUGAAACCUGCUUUAAUGUUUAGAGUAUGUAUGAAGUGAAGUUAAUUCCCUUCUCUGUCCAUAGAUAGAUUGCCUGAUCUACUUGCCAAUGAACUGUCAUUUUAUUAUUUAAAACCUAAAAAAAGUCCUUAAAUAAGGACUGGUAUGAAAAGUUCAUUUUCUAUUUCAGUAAUAUGUGAACUUGCAAUCUUUCACUUAUAUUUGUUAAAGUGAUUUUAGAUGAUAAAACAGUGCCUCUUUAAGCUUGAAUUCUGGCAAUGAAGAUAUAAUUAUAUUAUCUUCGUGCUAUGAACAAUUUUAAGAUGUUGUACCAUAGAAAAUGUAUAAUAUUUUUAUAAAACCCAAUUGGGUAAUUAUUGUACUCUGGAUACUACGAUGCCAAAGAUAACAUUUUUCAUUAUUCACAGAUGCUAUGCUGGAUUCUGUAUAGGCUCAUAUGGGAUCUACUCUGAAUUCCUCUGUUGCAUCUUUAAACAACCCUUAUCAGGGAUCUCCCCAGGAUUUUUUCUCAGGUGGACGUGCAAAAUUCUCAUUUUCACAAUUCAGAUCAAAAUUGGUCAAAAUAUGCAACUUUUUCAUGAUUUUUCUCAUUUUCAAGUGGGCGGAAAUGGAUUUUCAGGUGGGUGCAAGCCUAUUUUCAAAAUCUCAGGUGGGUGCUGCGCCCACUUGCUUUAAUGCUGGGGAGAUCACUGCUUAUACAGAUUGCAUCAAAACAG
rnacentral:misc_RNA from 1 species